rnacentral:pre_miRNA from 1 species
CACUUCAAUCCGUGCUAAGAUUUUGUCAGACACCAACCCAUUAGGGCUGAUCAGGCUUCCAAGAUAAGUGAAGUU